rnacentral:rRNA from 1 species
GAUGAACGCUGGCGGCGUGCCUAAUACAUGCAAGUCGAGCGAACAGACGAGGAGCUUGCUCCUCUGACGUUAGCGGCGGACGGGUGAGUAACACGUGGAUAACCUACCUAUAAGACUGGGAUAACUUCGGGAAACCGGAGCUAAUACCGGAUAAUAUAUUGAACCGCAUGGUUCAAUAGUGAAAGACGGUUUUGCUGUCACUUAUAGAUGGAUCCGCGCCGCAUUAGCUAGUUGGUAAGGUAACGGCUUACCAAGGCAACGAUGCGUAGCCGACCUGAAAGGGUGAUCGGCCACACUGGAACUGAGACACGGUCCAGACUCCUACGGGAGGCAGCAGUAGGGAAUCUUACGCAAUGGGCGAAAGCCUGACGGAGCAACGCCGCGGGAGUGAUGAAGGUCUUCGGAUCGUAAAACUCUGUUAUUAGGGAAGAACAAAUGUGUAAGUAACUAUGCACGUCUUGACGGUACCUAAUCAGAAAGCCACGGCUAACUACGUG